rnacentral:rRNA from 1 species
UACAGAGGGGGCAAGCGUUAUUCGGAAUUAUUGGGCGUAAAGGGCGCGUAGGCGGCUUUGCAAGUGACGGGUGAAAUCCCACAGCUUAACUGUGGAACUGCUUGGUAUACUGCCAGUCUUGAGCCAGCUAGGGGCUACCGGAACAAAUGGUGGAGCGGUGAAAUGCGUAGAUAUCAUUUGGAACGCCAAUGGUGAAAACAGGUAGCUGGGGCUGUGCUGACGCUGAGACACGAAAGCCAGGGGAGCAAACAGG